rnacentral:lncRNA from 1 species
CAACCUAUAUUCGUGAUCAAAGCAACCGGAAGCACCGAGCUAGUGAUAGCGUUGAACUGCCGCACCCGCUGUUCUUAAAGCAGUGCCUGCUACAUAGGCACAUUGUAUACCUUAAAAUCUGGAAUAAGGACCGCACCCAGCCCUUUUCUCGGACUAUAUAACUAAGAAAAAAAAAGUUAUUCAUCUAAUAGCCGCUCACCGCCUUUUCAAAGGCCUCGCGAAAUGUAGCCGCUCCGCCAUUUUU